rnacentral:rRNA from 1 species
UACAGAGGGUGCGAGCGUUAAUCGGAAUUACUGGGCGUAAAGCGCGCGUAGACGGCUUUGUAAGUCGGAUGUGAAAUCCCCGGGCUCAACCUGGGAACUGCAUUCGAAACUGCACUGCUAGAGUAUGGAAGAGGGAAGUGGAAUUUCCGGUGUAGCGGUGAAAUGCGUAGAUAUCGGAAGGAACACCAGUGGCGAAAGCGGCGCACUGGACCAUAACUGACGCUGAGGCGCGAAAGCUAGGGUAGCAAACGGG